rnacentral:tRNA from 1 species
GCGGCUAUGGUUUAGUGGUAGAAUGCAUCCUUGCCAAGGAUGAGACAGGAGUUCGAUUCUCCUUAGCCGCA